AUUGAACGCUGGCGGCAGGCCUAACACAUGCAAGUCGGGCGAGAGGCGGACGGGUGAGUAAUGUCUGGGGAUCUGCCUGAUGGAGGGGGAUAACUACUGGAAACGGUUGCUAAUACCGCAUACCAUCCGAUGCUCCCAUAUGGGAUUAGCUAGUGGGUGGGGUAACGGCUUACCAAGGCGACGAUCCCUAGCUGGUCUGAGAGGAUGAUCAGCCACACUGGAAAUGAGACACGGUCCAGACUCCUACGGUAGGAAGCAGUGGGGAAUAUGGCACAAUGGGCGCAAGCCUGAUGCAGCCAUGCAGGGUGUAUGAAGAAGGCCUUCGGGUUGGAAAGUACUUUCAGGCGGGAGGCGUUACCGACAGAAGAAGCACCGGCUAACUCCGUGCCAGCAGGCGCGGUAAUAC
rnacentral:rRNA from 1 species